UGUGAGUUUAGGAAUCAGGUGGCAAGGAUGGAUAUGAAAGGCUUGUAUGUCACUGCACUCAUAAUUUCCAUAAAUGUCUUCCUUUUCUCCCCUUUAACUUUGAUUUUUCCCCUUAUUUUUUUAGAAGAAAACAAUAUUUUGAGACGUGGUAGGGCACAAUUAUUGUCUAAUCUUGAUAUAAAUUUUACUGGACAUAAGUUUUUUUUGUUUACUUUAUUAUUUUUGUGAGGAAGAUUGUCCCUGAGCUAACACCUGUGCCAAUCUUACUCUACUUUGUAUGUGGGAUGCCUCCACAGCACAGCUGAUGAGUGGAGCAGGUUCGAACCUGGGAUCUGAACCGAAGAACCUGGGCUGCCAAAGCAGAGUGUGCAGAAUGUUAAUCACUCGGCCCCGGGGCCAGACCCCUGGAUGCAAGUUUUUAAACAAGCCAAUUAACAUCCUGAAAUCCAGACUCAACUGUAUGCAACAACGCUCACUGAAGCCCCAGCCUGAUGCCACUCCAAUUCUUUGGGCCCUGGAAGACUUUACAAACAUCCCUGGGAGCGAUUAUAAUUCAAAGAGUUAUCAGCUAAUGCUUUAUCAAGAUUACAUUAACAACUAAUUGAGGAACCAUCAGUCUCAACUAUCAGUAAGAAAACAUUAGAUCAUUUGAGUAUGCCUUUGUUCUCUCAUGUAUUUGUUCAACAACUGAAUCUAGGACAGUGAUGUAGGAAAGAGGCUACAUAUGGAUCAUCUUGGGUGCGUUGGACUGUAAACAAGAAAUGGAAAGAUUUUCAAAGGAGACCGGAGGUGUUGCUAAUGAAAGCGAGUUUUGGCUUCCCCACUGUCCUUGCAAUCACUUCUUAAGCCUCAGUUGCUAAAGGACCCUGCUUUGUGCCUGCCACUCCCGUGGUGUGAGCUUCUGUCUGAGUGAAGAGGAGAAGAUCAAAGAAGAGUCAGGCAAGCUCUCUCCGCCUUUUCUCCACAUUCUAGGACAACACCUGCUGCUCUUUCCUGGGGUAUGGCUACUUUUCAUGACAAGUAAUAUUCAGAAACUGAGGGCCUAGGUUCACCUUGGAUUUUAUUAUUC
rnacentral:lncRNA from 1 species